GAUGAACGCUGGCGGCGUGCCUAAUGCAUGCAAGUCGAGCGAACAGACGAGGAGCUUGCUCCUCUGACGUUAGCGGCGGACGGGUGAGUAACACGUGGAUAACCUACCUAUAAGACUGGGAUAACUUCGGGAAACCGGAGCUAAUACCGGAUAAUAUAUUGAACCGCAUGGUUCAAUAGUGAAAGACGGUUUUGCUGUCACUUAUAGAUGGAUCCGCGCCGCAUUAGCUAGUUGGUAAGGUAACGGCUUACCAAGGCGACGAUGCGUAGCCGACCUGAGAGGGUGAUCGGCCACACUGGAACUGAGACACGGUCCAGACUCCUACGGGAGGCAGCAGUAGGGAAUCUUCCGCAAUGGGCGAAAGCCUGACGGAGCAACGCCGCGUGAGUGAUGAAGGUCUUCGGAUCGUAAAACUCUGUUAUUAGGGAAGAACAAAUGUGUAAGUAACUAUGCACGUCUGGACGGUACCUAAUCAGAAAGCCACGGCUAACUACGU
rnacentral:rRNA from 1 species